AUGGCGGUGUUGCAUGCCGCGGUCCUCUUCCUUAUCCCCACCUUGGUCGUAUCUCUCAUAUACCUCCUCUCUGGCAAGAAGCGCAUCAGCAAUGGGAAGCUGAGGUUGCCGCCGUCGCCGCCAGGCCUCCCGUUCCUCGGCCACCUCCACUUCCUCGGCUCCUUGCCGCACCGGGGCCUCGGGUCCCUGGCCGCGAAGCACGGGCCGGUUCUGCUGAUCCGGCUCGGCCGCGUGCCCACCGUGCUCGUCUCCUCCGCCGUCGCUGCGGAGGAGGUGAUGAAAUGCCGCGACCUCGCCUUCGCGAGCCGGCCCAGGGUUGUCAUGGCCGAGCGGCUCCUCUACGGGCGCGACGUCGCGUUCGCGCCCUACGGUGACUACUGGCGGCAGACACGCCGCAUCUGCGCGGUCCACCUCCUCAGCCCGCGCCGCAUCCUGUCCUUCCGCCGGGUCCGGGAGGAGGAGGCCGCCGCGCUGGUCGAGCGCGUCCGUACCAGCGCCGGCGCUGGCGCCGUCGUUGACCUGAGCGAGCUCCUCAUCGCCUACGCCAACUACGUCGUUUCCCGCGCUGCGUUCGGCGACGAUAGCGCGCGGGGGCUGUACGAAGGCGACGACAGAGGACGCGAGCUGAGGAAGGUGUUCGCCGAAUUCGACGUGCUGCUCGGGACGACGCCGUUGGGGGAGCUCCUGCCGGGGAUGGGCUGGGUGGACUCUGUGCGGGGGUUGGAAGGGAAGGCGAGGCGGACGUUCGAGGCGCUGGACGGGAUGGUCGAGAAGGUCAUUGAGGACCACCGCAGACGGCGGCGUCAAGCAGGUGGGCGGCAGAUGCGAGACGACGUCGACGGCAAUGAUCACAGGGACUUCGUGGACGUGCUGCUCGAUGUAAACGAGACGGACAAGGACGCUGGCGUUCGGCUCGGAACAGUCGAAAUCAAGGCCAUUAUCUUGGACAUGUUCGCGGGCGGCACCUCCACCACGACCACGGCGAUGGAAUGGACCAUGGCGGAGCUCAUCACCCACCCGCGCGCGAUGCGCAAGCUCCAGGACGAGAUCCGAGCGGCCGUGGGCGGCGCCGACCACGUCACCGAGGACCACGUCGACAAGGUAGGCUACCUGAAGGCCGUGGUCAAGGAGACUCUCCGGCUGCACCCGCCGGUUCCGCUCCUGGUGCCCCGGGAGCCACCCGCGGAUGCCGAGAUACUCGGCCACCACGUCCCGGCGCGGACGCAGGUCGUGAUCAACUCGUGGGCCAUCGGCCGGGACCCGGCGACGUGGGAGCGCCCCGAUGAGUUCUGGCCGGAGAGGUUCUUGGACAGCAGCGUGGACUUCAGGGGCCAGGACUUCGAGCUGCUGCCGUUCGGUGCCGGGAGGAGAGGGUGCCCGGGGAUCGGGUUCGCCAUGUCGACUCUCGAAAUGGCGAUCGCGAGCUUGCUGCAUCGCUUUGAUUGGGAUCCCGCCGGCGGGAACGUGCCAGGGACGCUGCUGGACAUGAGCGAGGUGAACGGCAUCGCUGUGCGGAUCAAGGGCGGCCUGCCGCUUGUCGCCAAAGCGUGGUUUCCAUAG
rnacentral:rRNA from 1 species